rnacentral:rRNA from 1 species
CAUCNGUAGCCGGCUCUGUAAGNUUUCGGUAAAUCCAUGUGCUCAACGCAUGGGCUGUCGAAAAUACUGCAUAGCUAGGGAGUGGGAGAGGUAGACGGUACUCGGUAGGAAGGGGUAAAAUCCUUUGAUCUAUCGAUGACCACCUGUGGCGAAGGCGGUCUACCAGAACACGUUCGACGGUGAGGGAUGAAAGCUGGGGGAGCAAACCGGAUUAGAUACCCGGGUAGUCCCAGCUGUAAACGAUGCAGACUCGAUGAUGCAUUGGCAUAUAGCCAGUGCAGUGUCGCAGGGAAGCCGCUAAGUCUGCCGCCUGGGAAGUACGUACGCAAGUAUGAAACUUAAAGGAAUUGGCGGGGGAGCACCACAAGGGGUGAAGCCUGCGGUUCAAUUGGAGUCAACGCCAGAAAUCUUACCCGGAGAGACAGCAGAAUGAAGGUCAAGCUGAAGACUUUACCAGACAAGCUGAGAGGUGGUGCAUGGCCGUCGCCAGCUCGUGCCGUGAGAUGUCCUGUUAAGUCAGGUAACGAGCGAGAUCCUCGCCACUAGUUGCUAUCAUUAUUCUCAGGAAUAGUGGGGCGAAUUAGUGGGACUGCCGUUGUUAAAACGGAGGAAGGAGAGGGCUACGGCAGGUCAGUAUGCCCCGAAACUCUGGGGCCACACGCGGGCUGCAAUGGUAGCGACAAUGAGUUCCAAACUCGAAAGAGAGUGGCAAUCUCUAAACGCUACCACAGUUAUGACUGAGGGCUGUAACUCGCCCUCACGAAUAUGGAAUCCCUAGUAACCGCCUGUCA